rnacentral:rRNA from 1 species
GAUGAACGCUGGCGGCGUGCCUAAUACAUGCAAGUCGAACGAGGUGCUUUUGUAGCAAUACGAGAGUAUCCUAGUGGCGAACGGGUGAGUAACGCGUUGGUGACCUACCCCAAAGUGUGGGAUAACAGUCCGAAAGGAUUGCUAAUACCGCAUGUGGUCUUCGGAUUUAGAAAUCGAUGACUAAAGGAGCAAUUCGCUUUGGGAGGGACCUGCGUCCCAUCAGCUAGUUGGUGAGGUAAUGGCUCACCAAGGCUACGACGGGUAGGGGACCUGAGAGGGUGACCCCCCCACAAUGGAACUGAAACACGGUCCAUACACCUACGGGUGGCAGCAGUAGGGAAUAUUGCACAAUGGGCGAAAGCCUGAUGCAGCAACGCCGCGUGUGCGAUGAAGGCCU